AUGCAGCUGACGAGUCCCAAAUAGAACGAAACGCGUAUCAAACUGUAU
rnacentral:hammerhead_ribozyme from 1 species